rnacentral:rRNA from 1 species
GAUGAACGCUGGCGGCGUGCUUAACACAUGCAAGUCGAACGGAAAGGCUCCUGCUUGCAGGGGUACUCGAGUGGCGAACGGGUGAGUAACACGUGGGUGAUCUGCCCUGCACUUCGGGAUAAGCCUGGGAAACUGGGUCUAAUACCGGAUAGGACGAUGGUUUGGAUGCCAUUGUGGAAAGUUUUUCGGUGUGGGAUGAGCUCGCGGCCUAUCAGCUUGUUGGUGGGGUAAUGGCCUACCAAGGCGUCGACGGGUAGCCGGCCUGAGAGGGUGUACGGCCACAUUGGGACUGAGAUACGGCCCAGACUCCUACGGGAGGCAGCAGUGGGGAAUAUUGCACAAUGGGCGCAAGCCUGAUGCAGCGACGCCGCGUGGGGGAUGACGGCCUUCGGGUUGUAAACUCCUUUCGCUAGGGACGAAGCGCAAGUGACGGUACCUGGGGAAGAAGCACCGGCUAACUACGUG